UACUACGAGCGAUCUAUUCUGAACUUCUACUACGAGCGAUCUACUCCGGAUCUCUACUGUAAGUGAAUUCUAUCCGAGCUUCUACUGUAAAUAAAUUUCUUCCGAACUUCUAUUACAGGUAGACUUCAGCCGAGCUCCUACAGUGGAUGGAUCCCAGACGAGCUUCUACAAUGGGAUAGGCUCCAUCGACCAGGUCACUACUCCGAGCUCCCACAACAAUCGAUCUUCGAUCGAGCUUCUACAAUAAGCGAUCUCCUUUCAGCCUUCUACA
rnacentral:lncRNA from 1 species